rnacentral:rRNA from 1 species
AUUGAACGCUGGCGGCAGGCCUAACACAUGCAAGUCGAGCGGAUGAGGGGAGCUUGCUCCCUGAUUUAGCGGCGGACGGGUGAGUAAUGCGUAGGAAGCUGCCCGAUAGAGGGGGAUACCAGUUGGAAACGACUGUUAAUACCGCAUAAUGUCUACGGACCAAAGUGUGGGACCUUCGGGCCACAUGCUAUCGGAUGCGCCUACGUGGGAUUAGCUAGUUGGUGAGGUAAUGGCUCACCAAGGCGACGAUCUCUAGCUGGUUUGAGAGGAUGAUCAGCCACACUGGAACUGAGACACGGUCCAGACUCCUACGGGAGGCAGCAGUGGGGAAUAUUGGACAAUGGGCGCAAGCCUGAUCCAGCCAUGCCGCGUGUGUGAAGAAGGCCUUCGGGUUGUAAAGCACUUUCAGCGAGGAGGAAGGGUGGUGUGUUAAUAGCACAUCAUCUUGACGUUACUCGCAGAAGAAGCACCGGCUAACUCUGUGCCAGCAGCCGCCGUAAAAC